AUUGAACGCUGGCGGCAUGCUUUACACAUGCAAGUCGAACGGCAGCACGGACUUCGGUCUGGUGGCGAGUGGCGAACGGGUGAGUAAUACAUCGGAACGUACCCAGUAAUGGGGGAUAACUAUCCGAAAGGAUAGCUAAUACCGCAUACGCCCUACGGGGGAAAGAGGGGGAUCGCAAGACCUCUUGUUAUUGGAGCGGCCGAUGGCUGAUUAGCUAGUUGGGGGGGUAAAGGCCUACCAAGGCAACGAUCAGUAGCGGGUCGUAGAGGACGAUCCGCCACACUGGAACUGAGACACGGUCCAGACUCCUACGGGAGGCAGCAGUGGGGAAUCUUGGACAAUGGGCGCAAGCCUGAUCCAGCAAUGCCGCGUGCGUGAAGAAGGCCUUCGGGUUGUAAAGCGCUUUUGUCAGGGAGCAAAUCCUUGUGGCUAAUACCCACCGGGGAUGAGAGUACCUGAAGAAUAAGGACCGGCUAACUACGUGCCAGCAGCCGCCGUAA
rnacentral:rRNA from 1 species